rnacentral:rRNA from 1 species
CCUCUACCAUACUCUAGCUUGUCAGUUUUGAAUGCAGUUCCCAGGUUGAGCCCGGGGCUUUCACAUCCAACUUAACAAACCACCUACGCGCGCUUUACGCCCAGUAAUUCCGAUUAACGCUUGCACCCUCUGUAUUACCGCGGCUGCUGGCACAGAGUUAGCCGGUGCUUAUUCUGUCGGUAACGUCAAAAUUGCA